CUCCACAUAUUAUCUCCAGCUCUCUCUCUCGCGCUGUCUCUCCAACAAACCAUAUAUAUAAACACAGCCUCUUUGUCAUCUUGUCACAGAUCUAUACAAUAUAAUCUAGUUUUGACAUUUGAGUAGUAUGAAGAACACGAGGUCUGUGUUUCAGCUGCUGCUUGUGAUGUUCCUCUGCUUAUCUUCUCUUGUAUGCUCCACUUCUGCAGUUCCCACGUCCAGAGUCCUCAAGUCCUUUAAGGCUAUCCCUGCACUCCAAGAUUUUCAAACUCAGGAAGCCAUAGAGAAAGAGAUGUUAGUGGUGGAAGGGAGAAUGGAUUUUGAAAGCGCCGACUAUCCUGGGACUGGAGCCAACAAUCGUCAUGACCCUAAGACGCCAGGCACUGUUUGAUCAUUACGUGCUUCAAUCCAAGAUGAAGAUUAAUACUCGUACUUGUUAUAUAGAAUUGUAUCACUCAUGUUCUCUUUUUCUUUGUUACUUGUAAAAAGCAAAGAUAAAUGAUGUUUAGCUUGCAUUAAGUACUUGAUUUCGUGUA